rnacentral:rRNA from 1 species
UUGGAGGGCAAGUCUGGUGCCAGCAGCCGCGGUAAUUCCAGCUCCAAUAGCGUAUAUUAAAGUUGUUGCAGUUAAAAAGCUCGUAGUUGAAUUUCGGGGUUCUACCGUUGGUCGGGCUAUUGUCUGUACUGGCGUGUAGAAUUUCUACCUUCUGGGGAACUAUCAUGUUAUUAAUUUAGCGUGGUAGGAAACCAGGACCUUUACCUUGAAAAAAUUAGAGUGUUCAAAGCAGGCUUAUGUCUGAAUACAUUAGCAUGGAAUAAUAAAAUAGGACGGUGGUCCUGUUUUGUUGGUUUCUGAAUCACCGUAAUGAUUAAUAGGGAUAGUUGGGGGCAUUAGUAUUCAAUUGUCAGAGGUGAAAUUCUUGGAUCUAUUGAAGACUAACUACUGCGAAAGCAUUUGCCAAGGAUGUUUUCAUUAAUCAAGAACGAAAGUUAGGGGAUCGAAGACGAUCAGAUACCGUCGUAGUCUUAACCAUAAACUAUGCCGACUAGGGAUCGGACGAUGUUAACUUUUCUUGACUCGUUCGGCGCCUUACGGGAAA